UAUCAGGUGGGAGAAUGUUUUCAUGGCUCGGCGUAGUCCCUUUCUUUAUACGGAUUGGAGCAUGAAUCUGCAAAAUAAGGUCAUUUCAACAACCAAACGAGGUAAUAAGUGGUGUGCAGUUAAAGCAGUUAUGUUGUGCACAGUUAUUAAUGUACUCAGUUUAACACAUUUGUAUUUACAAUUUUCUUUCAUAUAUUCUCAAAAACAGAUCAGUCUUGACUAUAUAAUUUAGUGUCAGUUAUUAUCGUGAAAAUCGAACUGUCUUCUCACAUUUUUAUUUUAUUUUGCAAUUAGAACUGUCUAUGUAAGAGCUAUGACUGCACAAAUUAGAACCCCAAUAUGAUAAUCCUAGUGUGUUUUCCAUUUUUGCUGUGCAACUAACACCUAACGACCAUCCCUAAAAAAAUACCGAAGGACUGUACACAAACAUAAUUAGCCCUGGACAAGAAUAUUGCCAAGCCAUGCAGAGGUAAUAAGAAUUUGGAUCAAGAAGAGGUUUUUGCUCCUUACCUUCUGGUAUUCAAUUAGCUAUUGGUAUAUCUUAGUACAUAAGUGUGAAAAGGAAUAACUGAAUGUACUAUCAAGCAUAGGAAUUUACGAGGAACAGAUCUAAGAAGUCAAGCUGCAAAUCUUUAAGAGUAGUGUCAAUUGCCUCUGGAACAUCUUCAGGUGCAUGAUCACCAGACCUGCAAAAUUAAGAAUAUUCCUGACAGGAUGGAAAUUAUUUCACAUGUUCCCUUAAUUGAGGUUGGGGAAUGAAUCCUAACCAUAGCUUAGAGGUGAUAAACAAAUCUUCACGCUUAACCACACCAUCCUCAAAUAGUUUCUUCAAAGCGAAACCAACCUACACAAAUAAUAUUUCAUAUUAGUAGAAAUGUUUCCAAACCAAAAUAAUAAUAUUGAAACACUAGAAGGCUUCUUGGAAUGUGUACUUGCUACUUCCAGUUUCAUUGAUCUACUUGCACACACCCCUAAAAAAAUACUACCUUGCACACCCUUUUUGUCAUCGCAUUGUUGUGUAUGAUUCUAAAUUUCAGAGCUGAAGUAUUUCCUUCUCACUUAUCAAUUAUCAUCAAUACAUUUCCGCAAUAUUGUUUUGAGAAAAAAAAUAUGCAUUGAAUUUUGGCAUAAUAACUGUAUGCACAUAAUAUAUCAAAAUUAAAAAACAUACACCAACAUUGUUUUGCGGAGCACUCCAAUUUAAGUAUUUAACCUGUUAUUACACAAAAAAGAAAAGAAAAAAGGUUGCAGCAUGCGCAUUGAGCUAUUGAAGGGACAAACAUGUGAUGUAACGGUCACGCUAUGGUGCAUGUAAUUACUAAUACCUGUUUCUCGUUGCGGUACACUGGAGCACAAUCAAUAUGCCGAUAUCCAGCCUGCCGGAAAAGCAUGGAACUUUUAGAAGGGAAAAAAUAAGGGAUAGAGAUUGAUAUAUAUCUCAGGGCUCCGGAGCAGAAGCAUGUGGAAAAUUCAAAAGUCAACUUGAGGCCCCAGGUAACACAAAGCUGAACCUAGCUUGAUGGGGUGAGCACUUAAUAUCCAAGACCAUCAAGAAGGGAUUAAAGCGACAGGAAAAGACCUUGACAGCAGCGUAGAUGGCGUCGCCGACAACAUCAGGCUCUAUCUGCCAUGUGCCGAGGCCGACCGAUGGCAUCCUUGCGCCGGUGUUGAGGACGAAGGACCUGGCCAUCUUUGCUCUUUGGGGCAAGAUAGACGAGAGAGAGACUGUCAAAGAAGAUGGGUACGGUGGGUUUGGGGUUGCUGCUGGGGUUAUCUAUUCGCUUUGCAAUAAACUAGACAUAUCAAUGUAACAGAGUGAUCGACACACACAUAAUGUAUGUCAUCAGUGACAGGACUGUAAAGAGCUGAUUGGACUGAGUACACUUUUCUAGAAGAUGGGUCCUCUUCGCUGUUGUGGACAA